rnacentral:rRNA from 1 species
GUUGAACGCUGGCGGCAGGCCUAACACAUGCAAGUCGCGCGAGCGGCGGACGGGUGAGUACUGUCUGGGAAACUGCCUGAUGGCGGGGGAUAACUCCUGGAAACGGUAGCUAAUACCGCAUACCAUCAGAUGAGCCCAUAUGGGAUUAGCUAGUAGGUGGGGUAACGGCUCACCUAGGCGACGAUCCCUAGCUGGUAUGAGAGGAUGACCAGCCACACGGGAACUGAGACACGGCCCAGACUCCUACGGGAGGCAGCAGUGGGGAAUAGUGGGCAAUGGGCGAAAGCCUGACGGAGCAACGCAGCGUGAGUGAAGAAGGUCUUCGGAUCGGAAAGCACUGUAGGCAGAGAAGCGUUAUCCACAGAGGAAGCACCGGCUAACUACGUGCCAGCAGCCGCGGUAAUAC